GAUCAUGGCUCAGGAUGAACGCUAGCGGCAGGCUUAACACAUGCAAGUCGAGGGGUAGAUUACUUCGGUAAUUGAGACCGGCGCACGGGUGCGUAACGCGUAUACAAUCUACCUUUACAGAGGGAUAGCCCAGAGAAAUUUGGAUUAAUACCUCAUAGUAUUUUCGAAUCGCAUGAUUUGAUUAUUAAAGUUCCAACGGUAAAAGAUGAGUAUGCGUCCCAUUAGCUAGAUGGUAAGGUAACGGCUUACCAUGGCUACGAUGGGUAGGGGUCCUGAGAGGGAGAUCCCCCACACUGGUACUGAGACACGGACCAGACUCCUACGGGAGGCAGCAGUGAGGAAUAUUGGACAAUGGGCGCAAGCCUGAUCCAGCCAUGCCGCGUGCAGGAAGAAGGUCCUAUGGAUUGUAAACUGCUUUAUACAGGAAGAAACACCUCUACGUGUAGAGACUUGACGGUACUGUAUGAAUAAGGACCGGCUAACUCCGUG
rnacentral:rRNA from 1 species